rnacentral:tRNA from 1 species
GCGGGACUAGCUCAGUUGGUAGAGCACUAGCUUCCCAAGCUGGGGGUCGCGGGUUCGAGUCCCGUGUCCCGCUCC